rnacentral:lncRNA from 1 species
UGAUCAAAUUUAGCUCUUGUUGUUCUUACUGGUAUUUCGCUCACAUUUCAAAUAAAUAAUCAAGUUAUUUUUUUCUCAAUUCCAGACCGGGGUGCCUGUUCAUCAAUGUAACGAAUCUUAAUGUAAUUCACCGACUGUUGUUCAAUGAUACUCUUCAAAAAGAUAUUAAAAAAAUAGCAACUGUUCAUUAUAGUUCGCAUGGAAGGAUUCUGGACAAUUUGGCGUAUCAAUAUAAAUUAAAUUUAUUGACGUAAUGAUUACUUCUGAAUAGAAUUACAGGUAGGCUAUAGGUAAAAAGCGCAAAUGUCCGGUCAAAUUAAUACAGGUGAAUCAAAAUUUAAAGC